GUGCUCACUUUGGUAGCACAUAUACUAAAAUUGGAACAUUAUAGAGAAGAUUAGCAUGCCCCUGUGCAAGGAUGACAUGCAAAUUCAUGAAGUGUUCCAUGUAUUU